AGCUGAGGGGUCCCACCUGUUCCCAUACCGAACACAGAAGUUAAGCCCUCAUACGCCCACGAUACUUGGCUGGCGACGGCCCGGGAAAAUAGGUAGCCGCCG
rnacentral:rRNA from 1 species